AAAAUUGGUUCUAUAAAAUUUACUUUUCGUCAAACUCCUAUCACUCACAUCUCUCACACUCUCAAACAUAUACCACCUUCACCAUCAAUAUCAUCAUCUUGUUUAUCUAAACAAUUUCUAAGUUUUUCAAUCUCCUCCAAUUUCGUGUAAUCUUAAUGCGCUUAAUUCAAAUCCUUGUGAAAUCUCCUUGCGGAUCUGUAGAUCUCCAUUCUAGAGCUUGAGCUAGAAAGAACAGGACAUAAGGUAAGGGUUUUUUCUUCAUAUAUUCAUACAAGUGGUCUGGGAACUAUCAAACCGAUUUUGUGAAGUUCAAGAUCCGAAAAACCAUUCUUAUUAGAGAAGAUUGAGAAGGAACUUACUUAUCAACCAUGGUUCGAUGAAUUAUAUUUCCCAGAGAAAUCUGAGAGGGGAAUGGAUAGAAGUUAAGUCUCAAUUUCAUUACGGUGUGACGGUGAUUUCCAACUAAUAUGUGAAGUUGGUCCAUCAAGUUCGACAAAAAGUUCUUCUAUUCAAGUGGAAAUUAUAGCAAUGAAAAAUAAACCCAAGUUAAGCUCACAUCUUGCAUUUAUGUCAUAUGCUUUUUUGUGGCUUUAAACAAGACAAUGAUUCAUUACUAAAAGUGUUGAUAGGUGAACUACAAUCAAAGGCGGCGACUCUGGUGGAUCCAAAUUCUAAACUUGGAGAGACUCGGACAUGACGGGAAAAAGGAAAGAUAUAUAUAUAUAUAUAUAUAUAUAGUGCAGUUCCUUCUUAAGGAACCAAGGUCAAUAUGCUUCCUAAUAAUAAAUUCACUUAGAUAGAACUAGCUCGUAGAUAUCUAUGGUGGCCUUGUCUUAUUGAUGAAUGAUCACAUGGGUUUUCAAAAAUUACCUUUGUUUUUGGGAAUUGAAAAUAAUGGUAAUUUUCAAAGACAAAGGCAUCUUCUGAAGACUCAAUGUUACCAUCCAUUGAUAAGAAUGUCUAGAUAUAUCUAAGAUCUUGUUCUGGCUCAGUCAAUUCAUUUAUAGUAACAAUAUUGGCAUUGGUUCAUUUAGCAAGAACUGCAUUAUCCAUAUCUUUCCUUUUUCCCCUUCUUGUUCCAGCUUCUUCAGGUUCAGAAUUUGGAUCCACCUGAGAAGACACCUUUGAUAUUUAGUUCACCUAUUAGCACUCUUGGUAAUAAAUUACGACCCUUGGUCAAAGCCACACCAAAGCAUCUGACAUAGGUGAAAGAUAUAAGCUUAACAUGGAGUUCCUCUUUCAUAACUUUUGUAUGCCCUUGAAUAAAAUAACUUUAUACCGAACCUGAUAGCUUAACUUGGGCUUCCAUUGUAAUGGUUGAUAAUUUUUUUCCAUAUUGUGGGGAAAUAUUGUACGGAUGCUGUCAAAAAGGCACCUGGUUCAUUGUGUGAUCACUAUCUCUAUUGUAAGAGUUUAAUGUUACUUCUAUUGCAAUAGUUGAUAUUUUUUUCUCUUUUAAUAUUAUUGUACAACGAAGUUCGGAUGUUGUAAGAA